AUCGAACUUUGUCCGUAUGGCAGAAUUCUAUAUAUUAAAAAAAUGGAAAUUUUUUGAACUAAUGAGACCGAGAAUUAGCCGCUGCAACUUGCAUAGCAUGGACAAAAAACCCUUGUGAGCCAUGAUUUUUUUCUACGAUGUCGUACAAAGCAUCGGUGCUUAAACUGGAGUGCAGCAGAUCAUUCGAUAGUAAUUUUCUACCUAUAAGAGCGUAAUUUCUGGUGCUAGGAAUGCGUAGUGGUUCAACCUCGAUAUUCCAACCUACCUCCUCUGACAGCUGCAUGAGCCAUUCAAUGUACAUGGCGUAUCUUCCUCCAUGUUUGGGAUUUCGAGGUUUCGGUAAUGCCCAGGAAAUUUUAGCACCUGUCAGAUCAUGAACGCAACAAGGAAUCGACAUGAAAUAGCAUUUCUGAUUUAAUCUUGCUAAAAUGGGAAGAUAAGGAGUCAAUUCAUCCGCAUGGUUUCCGAUAAGGAAUGAGUUUUCAGAAAAUCGACCGUCAUGAAUGUUUGCAGCGGACAUAGUGAAACCGGCAGGCAGCUGAGGAAAUGGAAUCUUUGUUUCAAAAUCAUGCAGAAAAUAGGGUACAAGAACUUUUUCGUAUAACUUUACUUGAACCCAAAGGGGAUAUGUCUCCCAUGAUUUUCUUUUUCUAGCGUCGAAGCCAUAUCCAUUAUAGCCCUCCAUUAACAACAGAUAAACAAGUAAACCAUUUCCGCAACCAACAUCAACAAAACUAAAUUCUUUGUUUGAUGAAUAAGUUUGUUUCCACAAUUCUAUAAGAAAUGCUGCAAUAGCCAAAUCUUCGAAAACGUGUUUACCAGGAUCCGUUUUUUCUACCCAAUUGUCAACAAGUUGCUUGGCGUAUUUAUCUUUCAGAAUAACAUAGGUAUCUUGAAACUUGUUUCUUUCCACAACAGUGUCGUGAAGCAUGCGUUUUUGGUACCCUUCCACUGCCCCCUUGCAAUGCUUGUGUAAAACAAGUAAAAGCAUAUGAGCUGUUCGCAAUAAACGGGAAGACAAUUCCCUUUGAAAAUCCUUUUCUACUAAAUAUAAAACCUCAACACUUGAUCCUUUGUAAUGAAAAGCAAUUCCAGCUACUGCGGGAUGAUAGUAUGGAAGAUGAUUAUAGGGCUGUUCCAAACUUUUGUCCAGGUGAGGUAAGUACAUUAAUAUACGAUCAUUUUCAAGCUUCUCAUGUAGCACAACAACCGUUUGGUCCAUUGUCGCAUCCAAAUUAGUAUUACGAGGAAUAAUUCGACGAUCGAUCCACCUUGAAAUUUGGUACCUUUCGUCAAGAUUUUCGAAAACUGAUUUCUGCUUGUUUAGAAUUGAAUCAUCCUCUUGAGAAUCAAGAAUUAUGUCUGUUCGCAUGAUAACACUGCUUGUCCGCUCUGGAUGAUAGACUAAUUCUAUCAUCAUUUUGUCAAAUACCUCAGCUGCAUAGCAGGUAUCGUGCUCCAAAAUGGAUUGCCAUUGGUAAGAUGACUGCAAGUCAUAAGGAACAGGUGGAUCACAUGUCAAAGCAUUUUUUGGUUCUCGCGGCUUCCAAUACGCAGGAACCUUCAUAAAUGCAAUGCGCAAAAACCUUUCAAUUGAACAAGUACGAAAGUACUGUUAGCAGAAAAAAAAAUGUCGGAAACUCUAGCGCUUAAUUUUAAGCAUGUUUAAGGAACGCUUAAUAUACGUUAAAUAAAAUACGGAUGCGUUGGAGAUUUCAAAAACAUUUGAAUCUGUGUCUUUUCCUGUAGUAAAAAGGGAGAAAGGAUUGAAUAAAUGGUUUGCUCAAAGUUUAACUAGCAUUUCCAUGAGUUCAGGAAUUGCUAAAGGGGAACUUAAGGGUCUAAGCUCCUUUCAAAUGAGUAAACAGGUAAAUAUUAAUUCCAUAAGGU